CAGUCGAAGAAGCACUUUAUUUGAUUUCCUUCGGGACUGAUUAUUUUGUCACUGAGUGGCGGACGGGUGAGUAACGCGUGGGUAACCUGCCUUGUACAGGGGGAUAACAGUUGGAAACGGCUGCUAAUACCGCAUAAGCGCACAGCAUCGCAUGAUGCAGUGUGAAAAACUCCGGUGGUAUAAGAUGGACCCGCGUUGGAUUAGCUAGUUGGUGAGGUAACGGCCCACCAAGGCGACGAUCCAUAGCCGACCUGAGAGGGUGACCGGCCACAUUGGGACUGAGACACGGCCCAAACUCCUACGGGAGGCAGCAGUGGGGAAUAUUGCACAAUGGGCGAAAGCCUGAUGCAGCGACGCCGCGUGAGCGAAGAAGUAUUUCGGUAUGUAAAGCUCUAUCAGCAGGGAAGAUAAUGACGGUACCUGACUAAGAAGCACCGGCUAAAUACGUGCCAGCAGCCGCGGUAAUACGUAUGGUGCAAGCGUUAUCCGGAUUUACUGGGUGUAAAGGGAGCGCAGGCGGUGCGGCAAGUCUGAUGUGAAAGCCCGGGGCUCAACCCCGGUACUGCAUUGGAAACUGUCGUACUAGAGUGUCGGGGGGUAAGCGGAAUUCCUAGUGUAGCGGUGAAAUGCGUAGAUAUUAGGAGGAACACCAGUGGCGAAGGCGGCUUACUGGACGAUAACUGACGCUGAGGCUCGAAAGCGUGGGGAGCAAACAGGAUUA
rnacentral:rRNA from 1 species